rnacentral:rRNA from 1 species
AAUACGGGUGGCAGCAGUCGAGAAUCAUUCACAAUGGGGGAAACCCUGAUGGAGCGACGCCGCGUGGGGGAAUGAAGGCCUUCGGAUUGUAAACACCUGUCAUGUGGGAGCAAAUUAAAAAGAUAGUACCACAAGAGGAAGAGACGGCUAACUCUGUGCCAGCAGCCGCGGUAAUACCGAGGUCUCAAGCGUUGUUCGGAAUCACUGGGCGUAAGGCGUGCGUAGGCGGUUUCGUAAGUCGUGUGUGAAAGGCGCGGGCUCAACCCGCGGACGGCACAUGAUACUGCGAGACUAGAGUAAUGGAGAGGGAAGCGGAAUUCUCGGUGUAGCAGUGAAAUGCGUAGAUAUCGGGAGGAACACUCGUGGCGAAGGCGGGUUCCUGGACAUUAACUGACGCUGAGGCACGAAGGCCAGGGGAGCGAAAGGGAUUAGAUACCCGGGUAGUA